rnacentral:rRNA from 1 species
GUCGGUAAAACUCGUGCCAGCCACCGCGGUUAUACGGGAGGCCCAAGUUGAUAGCCACCGGCGUAAAGGGUGGUUAGGGAAUAAUUUAAACUAAGGCCAAACUCCUCUUAAAUUCGUCUAACGUUAAUUAAAAGGGAGAAGCCCAACUACGAAAGUGGCUUUACUUAACCUGACUCCACGAAAGCUAAGGCACAAACUGGGAUUAGAUACCCCACUAUG